AAUUGAUCAUGAUGAUAGUUCCGUCUUCAUUGUGCCAUCGUUUAGUGUGAAGAAAUGUUUUGAGACAUUCCAAAGUUGAAGCAAUUCUCUGAAUCGCCAUGAAUACGCCGAUCUGUAUGACACUGUGUCUGCAUGUACUCGCCGUGUUGGGACAACCUGCGAUUGGACAACUUGCGACGGGACAACCUGCAACGGGACAACCUGCGACGGAACAACUUUCGAUGAAACAACUUGAGUCCUAUUAUGACGAGCUGGCUGACAGUAAGGGCAAAAUCGUCGAAACAGUUCCUCUGUUGCGUUCACUGCUCUACUGAGAAGCUUCGUAGAGGAUAUUGGCGUAGGCCAGAAAAUAAUCUUCUAAAAUGUGGUCCUAAACAAAGGCGGUGCGUAUAAUCCAUUGACCGGAGUCUUUACAGCGCCCAUCACUGGCCUCUUUCUGUUUGUGGCAACGUUGUUAAACAGGCCCGCAGAAAAAGCAAUGCACGCAGUACUUUUGCACUCCGGUAGAAAUGUCGCCAUUC